AAAUAUGUAACGAUAUUUUUAUUGCUUUGCGCCCUAUAUCGCCGUUUCCCGCUACGGCUCCUUGUCUCUAUCAUAUUUGCCAGCCGCAAUGCCACUCUGAUGGUCCAUCCUGUGCUGGUGGAGCCUCCUGGAGGAACAGCAAGCGAGCGGACGGUUCCAUUUCAGCUCAAGCAGCGCAUCAAAAAUGACAACCUUCCAGCACUGGAAAUAUAAGGAGCAUUUCAUUUACAUAUGUGAAAAUGGCUCAAAUUUAACCGUGCAGUGCAAGAAGUGUUUGCCGGCUAUCAAGAACUUGUCCACGUCGAAGCAAUCUAUGUCAAACCUGAGGAAACAUUUAGAGAGGAAGCAUCCAGGCGUUCUUCUGAAAGGCACGUUUAGUCCAUCUGAUACUCGGGACCCAUCGUCCAUCUUAAUUCUUGAUGCACUGUAUUGUGCCGUGUUUAAUUUUACAAGCAAGGGUGUGCAAAGAAAAAAUCAAGAAAAAUAAAAUGUGAUGUAAAAGUCU